rnacentral:rRNA from 1 species
GGGCCCGCACAAGCGGUGGAGCAUGUGGCUUAAUUCGAUGCAACGCGAGGAACCUUACCUGGGCUAAAUCCACAGUGAUGUCUUCUGGAAACAGGAGUCCCUUAGGGGCACUAUGGAAGGUGCUGCAUGGCUGUCGUCAGCUCGUGCCGUGAGGUGUUGGUUAAGUCCCGCAACGAGCGCAACCCCUGUGGUUAGUUACCAGCACGUAAAGGUGGGGACUCUAGCCAGACUGCCUACGCAAGUAGUGAGGAAGGUGGGGACGACGUCAAGUCAUCAUGGCCCUUACGUCCAGGGCUGCACACGUGCUACAAUGGUCGGUACAAUGGGUCGCCACCCAGCGAUGGGCGCAAA